UCGGUGUGCGACUGCUGUGCAGGAGGUGCAGGCGGGAUGCUGACUAAAAAGUGCACAGCUGCACCGGCGAACUGCGCGGGGUAGCCAGAGCCAGCGGUACCCGGCGGCGGCGCAGGCUGCACUGUGACGAGACGAUCCACGGUACCGACGGGUCGCAUCAGCCCUGCAGACCGGACGGGUAGGUCUGUCUCCGGACCUCAUCGAUUUUACUCUGUGACAGCCAGCUCACGUUCAUAAGUGUGCGCGAAAAGAAAAGAAGAAGAAGAGGACUGAUGAAUGUGUGAGCUCACCUUUUCGUUCACCUUGGAAAUAUAACAACGCAUGAAAGGUUGAUGGAUCGCCUGCCGCAGAAACAAGUUGGCACGGACUCUUGUGGCCAUAAAGUACAGCCCGGAAACUGUUCAUUAAUUGGAGCUGGUCUGGAUUUACCUCCACAACUCCAAACACAGGAAGCACCUCUGAGCAGCCAGUCGGAGAAGCUCAAGAAAGAGUCUGGAUUGAAUCCCAUGCAGGUGGUUGUUAUGCCAAAAAGGGGGACUGAGCAGAUGCAGUCAGGGCAGACGAAGCCUGCAUCCACUCCAGUAACACUGGCAUGCAUAAGCCGACCAAGGCCAACUGCUCUUGGAAAUAAACCAAGGCGGACCAGAAUUUCAGUGGAGCCAUCCAACGAGAUAGAUUUGAUCCCUAUUUGCAUCCCAGGACCUCAGAGUACAAACAUACUCCUACACUCCCCGACAGAUCCUUCAUUGCCUCCACACAGUCCUCAUUCUCCCCAUAGCCCUCAGCCUUACCUGAACCCCACCCCCUGCCUUCCUCCACCACCACCACCACCACCACCCCCUCCUCCCUCUCCCCCUCCUCCCCCUCCUCCCCAGCCAUCACCCAACCUGCCCUCCAGCCUCAGCUUCAAG
ensembl:lncRNA